GAUAGCUUCAGAGACCCCCCCUUCUCUCGGCUCUAAAACUGGUGGGCUCCCGUGGAUUUCGUUAUAUUUCAAACUUAUAUUUCGAUUGGGUAUCCGUUGAUUUCAGAGUGAGAAUGGGUAAGGUUUGUUGGAGCUCAUACUUUGUUCAAAUUACUUCAAUUUACCACCAUUUCCCCCUCAAAUCGCAAAUCCCCUUUUUGCACAGGUCACAAAAACUUUCAUCUUUUCUGCUGCAUCGUUCUUUUGCUCAUGUGCUUCCUUUGUGGGUCCAAGGCUCAAAAUGAAGAGGGGGAAAAUUCAAGCAGGAGUUCUUGGCAACAAUAUCUCUUCGAUUUGUUGAACAAACUAUUUGCAGUACUUUGAAAACAAGUGUUGAUUCAUGGCUCCAAAGUGAAUGCGAAUGCACUGAGUUUUUCCUCCAUUGAACCACUUAAUGGAGGGAAUUACAAAAAGUGGAGACAUGAUGUAGAGAUCGUGCUUGGCUUGAUGGACUAUGACCUUGCACUGAGGGAGGAUGAACCACCUGCUGUGACAACGAACAGCACUGUAGAGCAAAGAUUGAAGUCUGAGAAAUGGGAGAAGUUAAACCGAAUGGCUUUCAUGGUCAUGAAAAGGUCCAUCAGUGAGGCUGUGAGAGGUGGCAUACCGUCAUGUGACAAAGCUAAGGCUUUCCUUGAGGCUGUUGGAGAAAAAUUCAAGAUGUCCAAGAAAAGAGAGAUGGCGAACCUGAUGACCACACUGACUUCUCAGAAGUUUGAUGGCAAAACGAGUGUCUGGGAGCAUAUACUAAAAAUGGUGGAGGUGCCGCCAAGCUCAAGGAUCUGGAGGUGCCAAUUGAUGAUUCCUUUGUUGUUCACAUAGCUCUCUCAUCCCUUCCUGAGUCAUUUGAACAGCUUAAGGUGUCGUACAAUACUCAAAAGGAGAAUGGAGUCUCGAUGAGAUGAUUUCUAUCUGUGCACAGAGGAGAGUAGGUUGAAUCGUGCAAAGAGUGUGGUGGUGAACCUUGUUGACUACAAUGCAAGUGGGAAUCCUAUGGUGAAUGCUGGUAAGCAGACUAAGCCUUUUAAUACCUCCACUACUACUGCCAAUGUUGCUUCUUCCUCUAGAGGACCUCAAAACCUUAGGCCAAAUUUGGAGAAUGUGAUAUGCUAUUUUUGCAAACAAUAUGGACACUUGAAAAGGGACUGCGAGAAACGUAAAAAAUGGGCAGUGAAGAAAGGAAAAGGGAUUUUCAAGAAAAAUGUCAACAAGUAAUGAAGUCUUUGAAGUGCAUGUGGGCAAUGGGAAUACAGUGGCUGUGGAAGCAAUAGGCAACCUCAAGCUCAAGUUGUCGUCAAGCUUUAUUUUAGAACUUUCAGAUUACUUUAUGUUCCUACUUUAACUAGGUCUUUAAUCUCUGCUUCAAGACUUGUAAAAGAUGGUUUUGCUUUCGUUGGUGAUGAUGAAAGCAUAAGGAUCUUUAUGAAAAACAAUUUGAGUCAA